GCUGAUUGGUGUAAGGGUACAGAUGGGGGAUGUAUAGUCUAUAAAACACCUGUACACCAUGUGAUCAUGGCUCAGACCUUGGACACUAAUCGACUGAGACCCGAUCAGUGAAAAAAAAAGAUCUUUGCUUCCUGAACUGACCUGCGUCCAGACUCUCUGUGUGUGGUAUCUUCAGUGUUCCCCUAUAAUAAAAUGAAUAUCCAAAGGAUUUCUGAGCAAUAAAGCGACACAUGAAUUCAAAGUAGAGUUGUGAUUCAGGGGUUAAAGAGACAUAAGUGCCG